GUGUCAGAAUUCAAAAUCACUGACCGAGAUUUUGAAUGCACUUGACUGUUGUUGAACCUUCUUUCUUCCCCAACAAUACGAGCACGCAGUGACUCCAUUGUU